GUGCGAGACCGAUAGCGAACAAGUACCGUGAGGGAAAGAUGAAAAGAACUUUGAAAAGAGAGUUAAAGAGUACCUGAAACUGCUGAAAGGGAACCGAAUCGUAUCCAGUGUCUAUAAUCCAUGGCAUAUUUCAUUGGCGAGUGAGUGCGUGCAGCGUUUUGGAAGUGGUUUUCCGCUCCUGUCGUUGUUGUGCAUUUGCUUGCUGGUGCCCUGUGCUGUGGUGGGACGUCAGAGUCAGUUUGUGUGUCGCGGGAAAUGGUUGUUGGGGAGGUAGGUCGCUUCGGUGGCUAUUAUAUCCUGGUAACUAGUCGUCGUGGCUGAGACUGAGGUGCCUACAAUGUGCUUUCGAGUGUGCGGGUUUCUCGUGUGGCUGUUUGCUUUGAUAGCUUGCUAUGUUGGUGAAUAAGUUGUGCGAUUGAGACCUGUAUUAACUUGUUGCUGUUCGGGACUUUG
rnacentral:rRNA from 2 species